rnacentral:rRNA from 1 species
AUGCACAAGCUACUGUCGUCCUCCACGCAAGCCAAGCCGAUCUCCCACCGGCGGGCGAAGAAACCUCCGGCUCCGGACUGCCCAACACUCUCUGGCUCCUCUCGCCGGAUCUCGACGAGAACCUCCCAAGUCCAUGCACCCUCUCGGCCCCUUGAGGACCCAGACGAUCACUGCUCCAUGAUCCAGACCCGUACCAGGAGGCGAAAGCUUCCAGAGAGCCACGAUGAUCCGAACUCCUCACCACAGAUCCUCAUUUGGGGGGCGAAGCGAGCACGCGGCUCCUCUGCUGGAAUCCAAGCCGAUUCUUGCUCGGCUUCUAGGAGGGACUGGACCGAUCUCGGGGACGGGCCCGCGGGGCUGAUCGCGGAGCGCCUGCUCGCCGGCGACGUCGCCGACUACGUCUGCUUCCGCGCAGUCUGCCGUCCAUGGCGGCUCUGCUGCACGGACCCGCGCGCGCACGGCAUCCUGGACCGCCGCUUCCACCCGCGUCACUGGAUCAUGCUCAGGGAAACGGGAGACUCGCCGCGCCGCCGGUGCUUGAACGUCUCCACCGGCCGCUCAAGAUGCGUGCGCCUGCCGGAGCUCCACGGCCACGACGUGUUCGGCCCCACCACGGAGGGCCUCCUCGUCCUCCUCGACAGGGCCACCUGGGUGGUUCGCCUGUUGAACCCGGUCACCCGUCAGACGGCCGAUCUCCCGCCGGCCACCACUCUCAUGGCCGAGAGGGAUCUGGAGCGAGCCACUGCCACAAGGGAUUUGUUGCAGGUGGCGGGCGCUGGCCUAGCCGACGACUGCACCAUCGCCGUCCAUUUUAGAUUGAUCCGGACGCUUGCUGUCAUCAAGCCAGGCGAUCCGCACUGGACAGUGGUCGACCGUGGCACUUGGCUCUUGCCGGCCAUGUCUUUCGCCGGCCGCUUCUACUGCGCCACCACUGCGGCUGUGAUGGUGGUGGAGACUAGUGCGGAUGAGCCACCGCGACUGGUCAUCGCCGCCAACCUGAAAAGGCUGCUUUCCCCGAUGAUGGUGGAGACUGUUCAUCUGGUGGACAAUGGCGGGGAGCUGAUACUUGUGGACCGGCAAUGCACCGGCGAUAUCGUCAACAGAAAAUACACCAGAAAAUGCACCGUGUACCGAGUGGACUUGGAUUCGAGGAAGAUGGUGCGCAUCCGUGGGCUCGGUGGACGCGCGGUGUUUAUGGGCACUGAGCUUGCUCUUUCCGUCUCACCUUCGGUGUUCCCAUCCAUCGACGCUGAUGCAAUCUACUUGGGGUUUGAUGGGCGGAUGAUAGGGACGCGGGAGGACAAGAGCCUAAUUCAUCUUGUGGGUAAAACCGCUGACGCUGAGCCUCGUCAACUUGGAGGCAGCAUCGAUGGCAUGCCACUUUAUGAACCCCUGGGUCUUGAUAUUUAUCUAUCUUGGUGUGUCGCUAGUUUUCGUCACACCUUAAUGGACAUGGAUUGUAACACCUUUCCUAACCGUGCGUUGGAAACCCACACUCAACCCAAGGUCCAGACAGAAGCAACUCGACGCAUCAGCAACCGCACGCGCAAGCCAAGCAAGCGUUUCUCUGGCAGAGAGUGGGUGACGUCGUUGGAGUAUAAAAAGGAACGACAUCCAAAGAAGUGA